rnacentral:rRNA from 1 species
AUUGAACGCUGGCGGCAGGCCUAACACAUGCAAGUCGAACGGUAACAGGAAGCAGCUUGCUGCUUUGCUGACGAGUGGCGGACGGGUGAGUAAUGUCUGGGAAACUGCCCGAUGGAGGGGGAUAACUACUGGAAACGGUACCUAAUACCGCAUAACGUCGCAAGACCAAAGAGGGGGACCUUAGGGCCUCUUGCCAUCGGAUGUGCCCAGAUGGGAUUAGCUAGUAGGUGGGGUAACGGCUCACCUAGGCGACGAUCCCUAGCUGGUCUGAGAGGAUGACCAGCCACACUGGAACUGAGACACGGUCCAGACUCCUACGGGAGGCAGCAGUGGGGAAUAUUGCACAAUGGGCGCAAGCCUGAUGCAGCCAUGCCGCGUGUAUGAAGAAGGCCUUCGGGUUGUAAAGUACUUUCAGCGGGGAGGAAGGGAGUAAAGUUAAUACCUUUGCUCAUUGACGUUACCCGCAGAAGAAGCACCGGCUAACUCCGUG